rnacentral:rRNA from 1 species
AUUGAACGCUGGCGGCAUGCCUUACACAUGCAAGUCGAACGGUAGAGGGGGCAACCCCUUGAGAGUGGCGAACGGGUGAGUAAUGCAUCGGAACGUGCCCAGUCGUGGGGGAUAGCCCGGGGAAACCCGGAUUAAUACCGCAUACGACCUGAGGGUGAAAGCGGGGGACCGAAAGGCCUCGCGCGAUUGGAGCGGCCGAUGUCGGAUUAGGUAGUUGGUGGGGUAAAGGCCUACCAAGCCUGCGAUCCGUAGCUGGGCUGAGAGGACGACCAGCCACACUGGGACUGAGACACGGCCCAGACUCCUACGGGAGGCAGCAGUGGGGAAUUUUGGACAAUGGGCGCAAGCCUGAUCCAGCCAUGCCGCGUGCGGGAAGAAGGCCUUCGGGUUGUAAACCGCUUUUGUCAGGGAAGAAAUCUCUUGGGUUAAUACCCUGGGGGGAUGACGGUACCUGAAGAAUAAGCACCGGCUAACUACGUGCCAGCCGCCGCGGUAA